rnacentral:ncRNA from 2 species
UGACCGUUGGGACUCCGAGGUGUCCAUAGUAACGCUAUGGCCGAACAUAGGAACAGGGUGAAAAUCCCUGGCGAACCCGUCGCCGUGAUGACGGAGCCCGCGCCCCGGCCGUCAGGGCCAUGAACCUGAUGGCUGAGAUGUCACUGGUAUUAGCUUACCGGGAAGGCUGGGCGCGGGCGGAGAUGUCUGAGCCGGAAGACUUGCCCGGAGGGCCGCAGGGCA